rnacentral:rRNA from 1 species
AAUGAACGCUGGCGGCAGGCCUAACACAUGCAAGUCGAACGGAUACUUCGGGAUUAGUGGCGGACGGGUGAGUACCGCGUGGGAACAUACCCUUUGGUACGGAAUAGCAUCGGGUAACUGGGAGUAAUACCAUAUGUGGUCGAGAGACGAAGGAUUUAUCGCCAAAGGAUUGGCCAGAGUUGGAUUAGGUAGUUGGUGGGGUAAUGGCCUACCAGGCCGACGGUCCAUAGCUGGUUUGAGAGGAUGAUCAGCCACACUGGGACUGAGACACGGCCCAGACUACUACGAGAGUCAGCAAUGGGGAAUCUUAGACAAUGGGGGAAACCCUGAUCUAGCCAUGCCGCGUGAGUGAUGAAGGCCUUAGGGUUGUGAAGAUCUUUCAGGUGGGAAUAUAAUGACGGUACCACCAGAAGAAGCCCCGGCUAACUCCGUGCCAGCAGCCGCCGUAAUAC